rnacentral:tRNA from 1 species
GGCCUGGGUAAUACUAAAUUGCAAGUUUGGUUUUGAAAGUGUAAAGCUUUCGUAGGCUU